AAGAGAAAAAGCAUGCACUUUAAUAUUAUAUGUUCAAAUGUAGAACACAAUCCAUACACUGCUUUCUGUUACAGGCUUAUCCUACAAAUCGAUCUUAUUCAUCUUCAACAGUCAACCGAACAGAAUUAAAAGUACUUGUUUUCAAAUUCUUUAUCUUAUGCUAUAUAUGGCUAAAUGAACUUUUUGACCUUAGCUUGGAACUUUUUUGUUCAAGCUUAGCUCCACAUCAUGGUAGGAUUUAUCUUCUAUUUGUAGAGUAGUGCUUUUGUAGUGAUAGCGGCGAGCACAGAACAGAAAAUAUAAAAAGUUGAGGCUACCCAUCCCUGCUAAAAGGAAGUAGAAAUAAUCCAACUUUCCAGCAUUUAGGUCGUUGGUUAACCAAUCUGGGUGGUCUCUUGUUCUUGUAGCUUUGUGCACCACUGUGGUAAGCAAGCUGCUGAGGUAGCUAGAACCCGCAAAUGAACAAAAGAAAAGAGAAUUAGCUAUACUUCUCAUGUGCUCAGGAAACUCCUUGUUGUAGAAUUCUAUUUGUCCGAUAAAAUUGAAUGCUUCACUAAACCCCAUUAUCACAAGUUGAGGUGCUAGCCACAUGACUGACAUGGGUGCACCACCAGGGUGUGAAAUGGCUACAGCCCUUCUGUCCCUUUCAAUCAAUCCAGCUACUACCAUGGCUAGAAUGGACAACAGAAUCCCAAUUCCAAUUCUUUGUAGAAGUGUGAUUCCACCUUCGAGUUUGGUGAUUUUUCGAAGGGCAGGUACUACCAUCCUGUCAUAGAAUGGAACCCAUAUUGCUAUUGUUAUCAUUGAAAUAACACUAAUGGAACCUGCAGGAAUUUGAAACUUGGGUCCAAGGUGUCUGUCCAUUCUCAAGGCUUGUGAUACGGUAAAUGUUCCUUGCUGUAACACGGAAGUGAAGCUAAUAAUACCAGAAGCCCAUACUGGACCAAUUUUGAGCAGACACUUCACCUCUUCUAUCUGUUGGAUACUGCACAGCGUCCAUUGAUUUGCACAAGAACCAUCAGGAUUUAGUUCGUUUUUCUCUAUCAUGGCUGCCUUGUUUAGGAACCUGUACUGAUUUGUGAGAGGGAGCUUUGAGAAUACAGUCUCCUUUAAGGGCGGAUCAUAAAGAACCCCAUCAACCUCCAGGACUCCAUCAUCAGGAAGGUUAAGCCCUCUCUUUCUAUAAGCAGCAACAAUGACCUGAGCAAUGCCCGAAAAAAUGCUUCCCUCUGGCUUUACGUGCACAUAAAUUCUUGUUCCAAUGAAGAAGAGAACAAUAGAGCACAGCAUAAGUACAGUAGGUAUCCCAAAGCCAACAACCCAGCUGAUAGAAUCUUGAAUAUAAACCACUACAGUUGAAGUGAUCAAAAUCACUACUGUGAAAGUGGUGUAGUACCAAUUGAAGAAGCUGUUAAUCCCUUUUAUUCCAUCUUCAGUUGUUGGGUCAAAUUGAUCGACACCAAAUGGAAUACUGCAAGGCCUGAUUCCACCGGUGCCUAUAGAUAAGAGGCCAAGUCCCGUGAAUAGGACGCAGAGUUGAACUGCUGUGGGACUCUCACAGUGACCAAAUGGGUGUCCUUCUGGGUGGCAUCUAGGAGGAUGGAGAUAAGGCAGCCAUGCUGUUAAGGUCAUAGUCACCAUUCCCUAUCCAGCAAAAGAGAUUAAUUACACUAUGAUAUUAUAAUAUUCUUUACUUUUUUUUUUUAUCAGAAAUAUUCUUUAUUUAUUUGGGAAAUAGAGGAUUGGACAUUGAAAUUCAUGAUGUAAGCCUUCUAAUAAUUAUUACCGUUUUGUUGGAUUUGAAUUUUUUUAAAUUAUUUACUAGAUUUAAAAAAGUAUAAAGUAUUAAUUAUUUUUUAAUUUUAUCAUUUAUUUAUGUAAAAUUUAAAUAUUAAAAAUAAUAUGUAUUAAUUUUCCCAAUUUGUGUGCAUAAAUAUUUUAUUAUAAAGAUUACUCAUGGUGGGACCAAAUUAAUUAAUGCUUGCUUGUCCCGGUCUACAGGUGUUAUGCAUGUGUUGACCUAUAGUAAUAAUUAUUCUACUUUCUUUUUUUUUUCUUUUUUCUUAUUCAAAAACUUCAUUACUUGAGAAGUUUAAUUAACUAAAAGUUUUUGUAAAAUUCUCACAAAAAUUUAAUCGCAGGACCUACGCCAAUGGAGUCGAAGAGUGCUAGUAAGAACCCAUUAAUUAAUGUUUCAAUAGUAUUUAAAUGUAAGAAAAUGAAGUCGUUUCCAUAAUGCAUGGCUCAAACAAUGAAGAAUAAUAAAAGCCUUUCGAGUACAAUUUUGAAAUGACGGUAACAGCUAUGCAAGUUUCAAAAUGGUCCAACCAUAUGGUAAAAGUAUUAGGUCCACUCGCGACUUCCAAAACAAUCCAUGAAUCACAUCUCGUAGCCAUGCAUCGGCCAGUGGCCUGACUUUCGUUUUCAACAUAAAUACAGGCAAACAUUUAAGCAAAAUACUAAAAGCAAAACCAUAGAUGUCCUUCAACCAUCCAUGGGCAUUAUAUUAUGCCCCACACCUACUUUCCAUUGCCUACUUGUUUGUUAGCUAGUAAUUAAUAGCAAAUGUAGUGCAAAAUAUCACCAUUAAUACCAAGGAGAAUUUCCAAACAAACUACUUGAGGUUCUGAGAUAUACCCACCAGACCUUUUCCCCGACAGCUAUUCAACGAGCCAGUAGAAAAAGGGAUUGUUAGCUUACAGGUACUCUGAUCUCUGGCAUAGUUCAGCUUAGGGCCAUUGAUUUGGUUCCUUCAACUAUAUAACCAUAUGUUCCGUAAAACUGAGCUGACCAAAUAAAAGGUCUUGUCUAUCGUUUCCCAACACCGUUGUCCAAUUACUGCGUUUAUUGGAUCAGAUUUUCAGACACCAUCUAUUCAUUAAAGUACCAUUCAAAGAAGUUAUAUUCAAAUUCAACAACUAUCUUUUUUAUAUA
rnacentral:misc_RNA from 1 species